rnacentral:ncRNA from 1 species
GGAGGAGGCCGUGGCGAUUUGUCGACCGGAUUGCGGGCCACGUUAAACAUGCCGCUAAAGAGGUGAGUGAGGAUGGAAC